rnacentral:rRNA from 1 species
UACGGGGGGGGCAAGCGUUGUUCGGAAUUACUGGGCGUAAAGGGCUCGUAGGUGGCCAACUAAGUCAGACGUGAAAUCCCUCGGCUUAACCGGGGAACUGCGUCUGAUACUGGAUGGCUUGAGUUUGGGAGAGGGAUGCGGAAUUCCAGGUGUAGCGGUGAAAUGCGUAGAUAUUGGGAGGAACACCAGUGGCGAAGGCGGCUCACUGGACCGGAACUGACGCUGAGGCGCGAAAGCGUGGGGAGCAAACAGG